rnacentral:rRNA from 1 species
GACGAACGCUGGCGGCGUGCUUAACACAUGCAAGUCGAACGGAAAGGCCCUGAUUUUGUGGGGUGCUCGAGUGGCGAACGGGUGCGUAACACGUGAGUAACCUGCCCUUGACUUUGGGAUAACUUCAGGAAACUGGGGCUAAUACCGGAUAGGAGCUCCUGCUGCAUGGUGGGGGUUGGAAAGUUUCGGCGGGUGGGGAUGGACUCGCGGCUUAUGAGCUUGUUGGUGGGGUAGUGGCUUACCAAGGCUUUGACGGGUAGCCGGCCUGUGAGGGUGACCGGCCACAUGGGGCCUGAGAUACGGCCCAGACGCCUACGGGAGACAGCAGUGGGGAAUAUGGCACAAUGGGCGGAAGCCUGAUGCAGCAGCGCCGCGGGCGGGAUGACGGCCUUCUGGUUGUAAACCGCUUUCGCCUGUGACGAAGCGUGAGUGACGGUAAUGGGUAAAGAAGCACCGGCUAACUACGUG